AGCGCAACCCUCGCCCUUAGUUGCCAGCAUUAGUUGGGCACUCUAAGGGGACGUGCCGGUGAUAAGCCGAGAGGAAGGUGGGGAUGACGUCAAGUCCUCAUGGCCCUUACGGGCUGGGCUACACACGUGCUACAAUGGUGGUGACAGUGGGCAGCGAGCACGCGAGUGUGAGCUAAUCUCCAAAAGCCAUCUCAGUUCGGAUUGCACUCUGCAACUCGAGUGCAUGAAGUUGGAAUCGCUAGUAAUCGCGGAUCAGCAUGCCGCGGUGAAUACGUUCCCGGGCCUU
rnacentral:rRNA from 1 species